AUCACUAUGCACACUAAUCACUAAGCACACUAAUCACUAUGCACACUAAGCACACUAAUCACUAUGCACACAGAGUAUCUGCAUAUAUGUAUUUGCUAUAUACUGUAUAUUAUCCCUGACUCCUUUCUACACCACCUUCUGCCUGCAGUUCCAGGUCCUGCUGCUCACAUUUCUGGUUGAGCUGCUUGCUCUUUUAAAGCUUUGGGUCCGACUAACCUGAUGCACCGUGAUGCUUCUCUCCAAACCUGCUGCUGAGUCUCUGUCUGGCAAUAUCUGUAUUCAAACUGCACUGUGUUUCUUAGUGAUGUGCAUUUGUUGUUUGCUUGUGUGUGUUUUGUUUCUUUCUUUUUUUAAAUAUAGUUUUCCCAUAAGUUGAUGCACUGAUGGAACGAUGCUCCUUCUUCUAAAACUCAAAAGCCGUUAAUCAAAGCUCUGUGACUUCCUGCUGAGCCGAGUGUUCGGAGCUCCAGCCCGGACUCAGGAUCCAACAGAUGAUGAAGAUUCAGCUCUGUCUCUGUCCACCUACGCAAUGGUUGGUCCUCACACUGGACCCGUAGCACCCACUGAGACAACACAGCUCAGCUAGAGAGUGUGUACGCUGAGGUAAAAAAGACCACACCAAGUCCUUGAAAAAUAAUUUCAAGUCGUAUUCCACACACUGCAUUUGUUGGGAUUAUGAUUUAUGGCAACUGAGCCAUGGACUUUGUUUUUACGUUACCCUCUUUUGGUGUGAAAAUCCUAAACCACGUCCUGUGUCUGCACCCAGAAGCAGGCCCGGACUGGCAUCGGGAGGACUGGGAGGUUUCCCGAUGGCCUGGCCUGUUAAGUGGCCUGCUGGCCUGAGGAUUUUUUUUGUUUUAAUGUAUGUAUUGUGAACGCAACGCUGCGCAAA